GGGGGCUCCCCAGCCCUCUCCCUGGGGCGCCCUCCCCUGCCCCAAGGCUAAAGGCCCCACUUUUAUCCCUGGGGAGUUUUUUUCAGAUCCCCUUUGUUACCUGAACAAUAAGUAACCCAGGUAGUUAGUUAUAAACUCUACAGGAACAAGGAGCUGGUUGAUAAUUUAUAGCAACAUCUCAAAUUUAAAUGGAAAGUAAAUAGCAUGCUGUUAGCAUUAAAGAAAACCCAAUCCCGGCGGGAGGGAAGCACUCAGCCUCCUCCCAGCCUGGCUGCCUCACUCUCUCCCCCUUCCCCUUCUCCCAGCUGGGUCUGAGCCCCUCUCCCCCAGGGCUCCCUGCUAGCCGGGCUUUUCCACCCUCGGUCUCAUCUUCCUCUUCUCCUCUGUCUUCCUCCUGCUCCCCUCUGUCUCUGCCUCGGCUUCCAGGUCUCUGCUAGUCCCCAGGGAGCACUUUGACCUCAGCUCCCCCACUCGAAUGCUGAAGACCAAGCGUCCCCCAUCCUACCAGCCACCAAAGGGGCUGCUGGUCAAGAGGCCCCAGCCAACCAGGUAAGACGACCCUUGGCACCCCAUUCCCCUCUCUGCACCCCAAAGCCCCUGAUCCCACCUGGGCCCCAAGCAGGCCAGGCCCAGCCCCACCCCAUCUGUUCGCCCUGGGUCUGGUGAUGCCUGGCCCUUCGCCCCUCCCCUGCAGCGCAGAAGCCCUUUGCUCUCCUCUUUCUGCCAAGUCAGGGGGGCCUGACUGCUCCCCUGCCCCCUGUCCUGGGCCUCAGGAGGCUCCCAGACCCUCCUGGGAAGGCCAGGGUCCACCAGCCCUCCCCCACCGCAAGCCGGGAUCAGGACCUUGGACAGAAAAGAGAUGGGUUCCCCCACACAGGAGCAACCUUGGAGCAAUUUCUCCAGCUCCUCAGCCACAUGAUCCCUUCCCCCACUGGCCCCUGGCCCCCAGUACAGCUCCUUUCCUACCCGAAGCCUCAGUUUCCCUGUCUGUGAAGCAGGAUCCUCAACAGCUACCUCCCAGGACUCCUCUGAAUUUUAUGGGCUAUUUGACACAGGAAGUCUCGACAGCAAGCAGAAAAGCCUUACAAAGUCCCUACAGCUGUAGGGACAAAGGCUAUGGAACCUUUAGAGGACAGUGGUCCCUGUGGCCCCCAGGUCGCACUCCUCCACCCCAGUAUCCCUGUCGUCCACUUCUACUGGGUGGGAGGUUGGUUGGCCCAGGCCUCUUCGGGCCACCAUCCUACAAGUUAAUGAUCACAGGCCUUAUCAGAGCCUUUUGCUGUUUAUAAAUUUAUAAAACAAAAGAGAAAUAAUAAAGUGCGUGGGUAAUUAGUAACCAGGUCAGCUCUGCUGAGUAGAGGGGAGGCAUCAAGCUCAGGACCCACCCAGUUCUCACCCAGGAGAUGGAGAACCAGCCAGCAGAUGGGGUACAGGACGAUGAGGGGGUACAGGACAAACAGAGAGACUUCUAAUGCAACCUGCAGGCCAGGUGGGAGGCCAGGGCCUUGCAGGAAAGAGGAGCAGCUCCCACCCCCAGCCUCCACCUGUCUGCCUCAGCGCAUCCCCAGGACACUUGAACAUCCCCACUUCCCGAGGCCCAGGCUGAAAGCUCCGGCUGUGAGAGUUGGGACUUGCAGAGGGGCAGGACAGGGGCAGCAGCGCAGGGCAGCCCGCGGGCUCCUUCCUGGGUGCUGGGGAAGGGGGGCCUUACUGCAGAAGGGUCUCCACCACCGCUUUCUGGUGGGCCGCCUCCUCCGGGCUGAGGUUCUCCAGCUCCUUGAGAAUGGGUGGCGUGAAGUCUUCUCCAUCGUCGUCCGUCUCGUCCUCGGAGCCCCGCGUCUCGCCCAGCCCAUUGGGCAGCUCUGCUAGCUCCCCUCGCGAGCCCUCGCCCUUGUCCAGGGGGCCAUCUCCAGCCAGCAGGUAGGGUCCCGGCUCGCCCAGGGCCUGGAUCAGCGCCUCUUUGCUCAGGCCCGACUCGAGCAGGGCCGCCAGGAGCUCCGUCUGCAGCUGGCUCAGUUUGGAAACCAUGGCUCGGCCACCGUGCGCCCGCCACGCGGCCCAGGGCCACCGAGCCGGCCGCCGCCCCCACCCACCGCGCGGCCGGCCGUCCACUUGCCGGUCGGCUGGCAGUCACAAGCCAGGCGCCUUGCACCCACUGCCCCCCCAAACCCCACUAGCCAAGCCCUUGGGCACCCCCAACCCCCAACCCAGGCCCCAGAGGCCAGUGAAUCAGGGCCCCUGCCUGCUCUGUUUACAUUGGAGCUGGGGAAAUUCUCCAAGGUUCAUAUUUAUCCGUGUGCUUAGCGAAGGGACUGAACUUUGGACUUCAGCCCUGCAAAGAGCAGGCCUCAUGGCAGCCCAGGAGCCAUGGCCUUCGGCGGGAGCCAGAGCCCAGCGGAGAGGGCAAGGGGCGGGCGGGGAGGUGGAUGGAAGUUGCUGGGAGCCAGGGAGGCCACAGAGAGCAGCUCUGGGUCCCACCCCCAAGGGCCCUGUAGGGGCCACAGGCUGAGACGGGGAGCAAAACAAAAAAAAAAAAAAAAAAAAAAAAAAAAACCUUGUGUCUUUCGGGAGAAGGAGCAGGAAGUUCUAGGCCGCAGCACCCAAGGGCAGAGCUAGGUCAUCGCCAUUUUGGGACCCUCGCCCCAAGCCCAGGCCCAACACUAGGCCUCCCCCAGGAAGCCUUAGUGAAGCUUCUGUGUUCCAGGGACUCUCCCAGGUCUGACAUGUGCAUCUCCAUUGUAUCCUCCUAAGCAGCUGCCUGUAGGCACAGGGAUUACCUCCCUUUUUUACACAGGAGGAAAUCCAGGCUCCCCUGAAGUCAGCAAGAGACAAGAAGAGCCGGGUCAGGUGUGUAGAUUGAAGAGAAUGAGGCCCUUUCCCCAGCUACAGAUUUUAAAGAGCACCCCCAAAAAACUAGUCAUUGAGAUAAAUAGCUUCCUUGUGCUAUAUAUUUUAAAAAUUAAAAUUAAUGUAAGAGACUAAAGAGCAUGUGUCCACUCAAACCUUCUUUAUGGGUGUUCACAACUGUAUCAUUCAGGGUAGCCCAAAGAUGGGGGGGGGGGGACACAAAUAUCGAUCCACAGAGGAACAGAUAAAGUGUGUGACAGGAUUUUAUUCAAGCCACAUAGUGUGGCCCCCUCCUAUAAUCUCAUCUGCUUAGAAGACUGAGGCAGGAGGAUCACAAUUUUGAGGCCAACCUGGUCAACUUAGUGAGACUCCAUGUCUCAAAAUAAAACAUGAACAGCGCUAGGGAUGUAGCCCAGUGGUGGAGCACUUGCCUAGUGUGCUCCAGGACCUGGGACAUCCCCACACUGCCACAGAAGAAAAGCAUAUUACUUGGUCUUGAAACAGGCCACAGCUCCGAUGAACCCUGAAUUCACUGCCGCAUGAAAAUCAUCCCACGAGGCCUCUUUCUACUUACUGAAAUGACCAGCGUAGGCAGAUCCCUAGGGAGGCGUAGCUCUGUGGCCCGGGGCUGGUGGGGGAUGAGAAUGGGCAAUGGCUGAUUCAGGGGUAACAAGCCUUCUAAAACUGACUGUGAUAGUUAUUGCAGGAUUCUGGAAAUAAUACUAAAAACCGCUCUGUUGUACGUUUUAGGAGAGGCCAGAUUUGAUGGCCUGUGGCUUUUUUUAAAUUAAUGUAAAUAAAUCUGUAGUGAGCAAAAUAUCAAACUUUUAAAUAAAGACAGGCCCAAUCCUCACUCACCUCACCCAGCUCUUCCCUCUUCCAGCCAUGAGUGUGACAGUAUUCUUCAAGGGAGAGGGCCCCGAGCCCAGGAAUAGUGGGCGUACACCAUUUCUUAGAGAAGCAGCAGUGCUGAGGGGCUGCCCCUAAGCUGUGGCAUUUCCAAAGAGCAUGGAAUUUUGAGGGGCCUGCAGAGCUAGGUGCCAUCAGCUGGAAAAGUACCUGAAAGACAGGCCAGGAGAGCGGAGAGAAAAGGCUGCCUAGUGUCCCCUCCACGCUCAGGGUGCUCCAGGGAACUCUGCCCUGGAAUCAACCUCAUUUUUGCACAGGAUUUAUUACUUUCCUGUAUCCUGGACUCCUGUGCCAUCCAAUAUUAGUAGCUACCAGCCCUGUGUGGCUGUUGAAGACUUGGAACAUGACUAAUGCCUCUUGGUGAAAUGAUAAUAUUUUGGGUAUUCCAGUUUAAUGUUUAAAAUUUUAAAUUACACUAGGCAUGACAAGAUUGUAACUCCAAUGCCUGAAAAUUGAGUUACAUUGUAUUGUCUCAAUACAAAUCAAGCCAGAUGGGGCUGGGGAUUUAGCUCAGUGGCACAAGUACCUGCCUUGCAAGCAGGCGGUUGUGAGUUCGAUCCCUGGUACCGAUAAAAAUGAAAAAGACAAAAAAACAAAUCAAGCUAGACAAGGUGGCAUAUGCCUAUAAACCCAGUACUUGGGAGACUAGGGCAGGAGGAUCACCAUGAGUUCAAGGCCAGUUUUGGAGAUCCUGUAUCAAAAAAAAAAAAAAAAAGUCAAGAAAUAAAUUGAAUUAAAAUUUUAAAGUAGGUAGGUGUGCUAGCAUAGGCUUAUAAUCCCAGCAACUCAUGAGGCUGAGGCAGGAAGAUAACAAAUUCUAGUUGUUACAAACUGGACAACUUAGCAAGACCUUAUCUCAAAACAAGAGUUGUGGGGGUGGCUAAGGAUGUAGUUCUGUGGUAGAGUCUCCUGGGUUCAAUCCUCAGCAACACACACACACAAAUUUAAAUGUAAAGUAAUUUUAAAUUAUAUUUAAUUUCAAUUUUAUUAUAAAUAUAGUUUUAAAUAAAUUUGAAGGUUAAUUUUAAUUAAAUAUCUUCGCCUGUUUUUUAGUUUUGCAGUGCUGGGUUUGGAACCCAGGGCCUUUCACAUUCUGAGAAGUUUCUGUACCCCUGAACUACAUCCCCAGCCUUCUUUGUUUGUUUGUUUGUUUUUGAGACAGGGUCUGGCUAAAUUGUCCAGGCUGGACCCAAAUUUGCAAUCUUCCUGCCUCAGCCUCCUGAGUAGCUGAGAUUACAGGUAUGUACCACCACACCUGGCUCUUUUUACCUUUUACAGGUGCUACUGGAACUCUUUAAAUUACAUGUUAAUUUUACUUUGUAUCUAGAAGCUCAGUAACACAGCACUUGCCUAGCACACACAAGGUCCUGGAUUCAAUCUCCAGCACCAUAAAAUUACAUGUGUGACUGACAGUAUUGGGCAAUAUUGCUCUAUGGUUUACGUAUGCAUUAUGCUUACCGUUUAUGACCUGCCAGCACAUUAGCCCUGCCAGGCAUGCUGGUGAGCACCUGUAAUCUCAGCACUCAAAAGGCUGAGGCAGGGGGUUCACCUGUGAGUUGAGGCCAGCCUAAGCUUUAUGGGGAGUUCAGAGUCAAUUUGAACUGCAUAGAGGGAUCUUGUAUCAAAAAAGAAAAAGUACAUCGGCCCCACCAGGUAAAAGCUUCUCUCUGCCUUGUUCACUGCUACAUUCCCAAAGCCUAAGGCACUCUCUUUUGUACACGUGGUAGAUGUCAAUAAAUGUCCAUUAAAUGGAUCACUGGUUUGCA